rnacentral:rRNA from 1 species
ACGGAGGAUGCAAGCGUUAUCCGGAAUGAUUGGGCGUAAAGGGUCCGCAGGUGGCAUUGUAAGUCUGCUGUUAAAGAGUCACGCUCAACGUGAUAAGAGCAGUGGAAACUACAAAGCUAGAGUAUGGUCGGGGCAGAGGGAAUUCUUGGUGUAGCGGUGAAAUGCGUAGAUAUCAGGAAGAACAUCGGUGGCGAAGGCGCUCUGCUAGGCCAAAACUGACACUGAGGGACGAAAGCUAGGGGAGCGAAUGGG